rnacentral:rRNA from 1 species
UACGUAGGGUGCAAGCGUUGUCCGGAAUUAUUGGGCGUAAAGAGCUCGUAGGCGGUCCAUCGCGUCGGGAGUGAAAAGCUGGGGCUUAACCCCAGUCCUGCUUCCGAUACGGGUGGACUAGAGGUAGGUAGGGGAGAUCGGAAUUCCUGGUGUAGCGGUGAAAUGCGCAGAUAUCAGGAGGAACACCGGUGGCGAAGGCGGAUCUCUGGGCCGAUACUGACGCUGAGGAGCGAAAGCGUGGGGAGCGAACAGG